AGGCCCCGCAAGGGGAGCGGCAGACGGGUGAGUAACACGUGGGAACGUGCCUUUUGGUUCGGAACAACCCAGGGAAACUUGGGCUAAUACCGGAUAAGCCCUUACGGGGAAAGAUUUAUCGCCAAAAGAUCGGCCCGCGUCUGAUUAGCUAGUUGGUGGGGUAAUGGCCCACCAAGGCGACGAUCAGUAGCUGGUCUGAGAGGAUGAUCAGCCUCACUGGGACUGAGACACGGCCCAGACUCCUACGGGAGGCAGCAGUGGG
rnacentral:rRNA from 1 species